rnacentral:lncRNA from 1 species
ACUAUAAUUAAACUAUAACUCUAGCUUGUUGAUUUUACCUUUAUGGAUGUUUUUCUUUUUGUGUGUUCUUAUUUUAGCUUUUUUGUGUUGAUUUCAUGAGGUUGAAGAACUUUCUGAGACAGCUUCCUCCAUAUGAUAAGAAGUAAUUGUUGCAGUAUGUUUCACUUCUGAUCUUCUGCAUACUACUGCCUGUACAUACCAAAAAGCAGCUGAAAG